rnacentral:rRNA from 1 species
ACAAGUAGUUAGAGCCCGUUAAUGGGUGAUAGCGUGCCUUUUGUAGAAUGAACCGGCGAGUUACGAUUUGUUGCAAGGUUAAGCGGAAAAAGCGGAGCCGUAGCGAAAGCGAGUCUGAAUAGGGCGCAUAAGUAACAGGUCGUAGACCCGAAACCAGGUGAUCUACCCAUGUCCAGGAUGAAGGUAAGGUAAUACUUACUGGAGGUCCGAACCCACGCACGUUGAAAAGUGCGGGGAUGAGGUGUGGGUAGCGGAGAAAUUCCAAUCGAACUUGGAGAUAGCUGGUUCUCUCCGAAAUAGCUUUAGGGCUAGCCUCGAGGUAAAGAGUCAUGGAGGUAGAGCACUGUUUGGACUAGGGGCCCUUCUCGGGUUACCGAAUUCAGAUAAACUCCGAAUGCCAUGUACUUAUACUCGGGAGUCAGACUGCGAGUGAUAAGAUCCGUAGUCGAAAGGGAAACAGCCCAGACCACCAGUUAAGGUCCCCAAAUAUAUGUUAAGUGGAAAAGGAUGUGGGGUUGCUUAGACAACCAGGAUGUUGGCUUAGAAGCAGCCACCAUUGAAAGAGUGCGUAAUAGCUCACUGGUCGAGUGACCCCGCGCCGAAAAUGUACCGGGGCUAAACAUAUUACCGAAACUGUGGAUGAACCUCUUUAGAGGUUCGUGGUAGGAGAGCGUUCUAAGGGCGGUGAAGUCAGACCGGAAGGACUGGUGGAGCGCUUAGAAGUGAGAAUGCCGGUAUGAGUAGCGAAAGAAGGGUGAGAAUCCCUUCCACCGAAUAUCUAAGGUUUCCUGAGGAAGGCUCGUCCGCUCAGGGUUAGUCGGGACCUAAGCCGAGGCCGAUAGGCGUAGGCGAUGGACAACAGGUAGAGAUUCCUGUACCAGUGCUAAUUGUUUAACCGAUGGGGUGACACAGAAGGAUAGGGAAUCGCACGAAUGGAAAUGUGCGUCCAAGCAGUGAGUGUGAGAA